GGGAAUUUGAAGUGCCUGACUGGGUGGCCGGGAGACGGAGUCUCGGGGUCGCGUGCACCUGGGCGGCCAGGGAGGCUCCAGUGCCCGGGAGAAAGGCAAGAAAACUGAGGCACAGAGAGAUUGUCACACAGCCAGUAAGGUUUCUUUCAAAAUGAAGAUUCACGCAGUGAUUGUAACUGUCUUGAUGAGCCAGGUUGUAGUUUACAAAGUUUUAUUCCAGAAGGAAAAAAGCCACUUCACCUAGAAAUUUUGCAAACAAAUCAACUUUUACUCUGUGAGUAAUCCAGGGCCUAUCAAGACUACAUUUUAGUUGACUGCAAGGCCUCUGAGGCACGGGAAUUCACAGCUGAGUUCUUGGAGAAGGUCCUUGAGCCAUCUGGAUGGCGGACAGUCUGGCACAUGAUGUGCUCAAGGUGCUGCUUGAGGCCACAGAUGUGGACAUUUCAGCCUUGAAGGCAGUGGUGCAGCUUGCUGAGCCAUACCUCUGUGAAUCUUGAGCGAGUACUUUCACCUUGGAGUGUGUGAAAGAGCUCCUCGAGCUGAAGGAACAUCAGUUGCCCCUGAAGGAGCUGGGUGGUGUUUGAUGAUUCUGGAGACAGCACUUGUAACUUGUAACUGAGCAUGUCAGCUAGGAAGGAUAGCCACUGAGCAAGCCUGUAAGGCUAUUGGUCUGCCCAUUCUGGUUUCUUCACCAAUGAGAAAACUGGGACCUGGGGAGUUUGCAGAAGCCAUCCAAGGGCACCUGCUUCUCACAGCACAGCAGCUUCCUGCAGCCCUCCCUCCUGUCUUGUUUCUCCCUUAAUUGAGAGGAGAGGCCAGAACCAGAUGCAGGCAGUUCCAACAGUAAUGAAUUGCUCUAAGGUGUGGAUCCAAGAACCGGUGACAAGGUCAGGAAAUUCCAUCCCGGGACACUGACCCAACUAAGAGACUGUGCAUGAUGGCUAAGUUCAGAGCUCUGAGGAGAUGGUAAAACUCAUUUGCAACGAAACAAGAUAUUUUCCAACUCUGCAGCCAGAAACCAUCCUCCUGGCUGUCUCACCAUCAGCGCCACCUCUCCGUGGGUCUGGAGUCUUGAGGAGCCAGGACUGGACUGGGAUGUAAGGUUGGGUCUUCCGAGCUGUAGAUGGGAGCAGGAAGAUGUAUCUCCAUUCACGAUCUCAGUACAAGGCUCAGCUAUCUCCCGGCAACUCGCCCAUCAUCUGUUUCUGAGUUCUUCUGACAUACAGGUUCUUUGGAGGCGGCAUCAAGAAAAUACAUUUGGACAAAUCCUUCAUCUCAAAUAUUUUCCCCUCAUGAAACCAAAGGCAUUGCUCCAAAGUCAUUUCCAUUAAUUAGACAUGCAUCUUGUAUGACUGAAGGAGAAUCUAGUCCACAAACUCUGGGUUAAUUUUCUCUUCUGACAUCUGUGUGUAGUGUUUCUCUGAGGAGCUGAAUUAUCUGCUCUCCAGUGCCUUCCUCUCGGUGUUUUUUGGCCAGGAGCAAGGAGACAGGCAGCUGCAUUCUGGGAGCAGCAAGCAAUUCUGAGAACUGGAGCUGCUUAGGUUCUUUCACUUCUGCUUCAAAGGAAUACGUUGAGUUUGCAGAGAAUGAAGGAGAGAAAGACUCCAAGUUCCAAGCAGGGUCUUGGGGUAGUCUCUGAGCAUCCCAAUGUACUUACUUCCUCCCCACAGCUUCCUCACUGGGCUCCCAGCCACCAGUAUUUGUCUCUUUAAUCCCCCAACACAGAGCUACUAGAUGGAUUUCUUUCUUUCUUUUUUGUUUCUUUCUUUCGAUCGAUUUCUCUUUCUUUCUUUCUUUCUCUUUCCUUCUUUCUUUUCUUUCCUUUUCUUUUCUUUCUUUCUUUUUCUUUCUUUUACAUCUUCCUUCCUUCCUUGCUUCCUUUCUCUCUCUUUUUCUUUCUUUUAUGGUUUUUUUUUUGUUGUUGUUGUUGUUGUUUUUAGACAGUCUUGCUCUGUCACCCAGGCUGGAGUGCAGUGGUGCAAUCUCGGCUCACUGAAGUCUCAACCUCCUAGGCUCAAACAGUCCUCCAACUUCAGCCUCCCAAGUAGCUGAGACUACAGAUCAGCAAUCUGGCUAAUUAAAAAAAAAUUUUUUUUAGAGAUGGGGUCUUACUAUGUUGCCCAGUCUGGUCUUGAACUCCUAGCCUCAAACAGUCAUCCUCCCUUAGCCUCCUAAAGUGCCGUGAUUAUAGGCGUGAGCCACCAUGCCCAGCUGGAUUUUUUCUUUUAACUGUAGUUUUAUCAUGUUCUUUUUGCUUAAAAUAAACUUUUCUGAAGUAAAUUCUGGACUCUGCAAGGUCUUUGUUCUAUUUGUUAUGGUGUUUGGGCAAGCCCUCUGUUUUCCUGUCCAGAGCAGGCCUGGGACCUUUGCCUUCGGUGGCUUUCCUGGGAUCCCCCACUACCCAGAAGAGCAGGGCUAUUGCCUCUGCUCGUCCCCAGAUCCCAACCCUCCAUGGGCCUGCCCUGGAUCCUUGCUGUUGGAGGGGAGGCACAACUUCACCUCUACCCUCAUAGGGAUUUUUGGCUGCACCUGC
rnacentral:lncRNA from 1 species